UGGGGAAUAUUGCACAAUGGGGGAAACCCUGAUGCAGCGACGCCGCGUGAGCGAUGAAGGCUUUCGAGUCGUAAAGCUCUGUCCUAUGGGAAGAUAAUGACGGUACCAUAGAAGAAAGCCCCGGCUAAUUACGUGCCAGCAGCCGCGGUAAUACGUAAGGGGCGAGCGUUGUCCGGAAUUAUUGGGCGUAAAGAGUGCGUAGGCGGCAAAUUAAGUCAGAUGUGAAAACUAAGGGCUCAACCCAUAGAUUGCAUCUGAAACUGAUAUGCUUGAGUCAAGGAGAGGAAAGUGGAAUUCCUAGUGUAGCGGUGGAAUGCGUAGAUAUUAGGAGGAAUACCGGUGGCGAAGGCGACUUUCUGGACUUGAACUGACGCUGAGGCACGAAAGCGUGGGGAGCAAACAGGA
rnacentral:rRNA from 1 species